AUUGAACGCUGGCGGCAGGCCUAACACAUGCAAGUCGAGCGGAUGAGAGGAGCUUGCUCCUCGAUUCAGCGGCGGACGGGUGAGUAAUGCCUAGGAAUCUGCCCAGUAGUGGGGGACAACGUUUCGAAAGGAACGCUAAUACCGCAUACGUCCUACGGGAGAAAGUGGGGGAUCUUCGGACCGCACGCGAUUGGAUGAGCAUAGGUCGGAUUAGCUAGUUGGUAGGGUAAAGGCCUACCAAGGCGACGAUCCGUAACUGGUCUUAGAGGAUGAUCAGUCACACUGGAACUGAGACACGGUCCAGACUCCUACGGGAGGAAGCAGUGGGGAAUAUUGGACAAUGGGCGCAAGCCUGAUCCAGCCAUGCCGCGUGUGUGAAGAAGGCCCUCGGGUCGUAAAGCACUUUAAGUUGGGAGGAAGGGCUUACAGCGAAUACCUGUGAGUUUUGACGUUACCGACAGAAUAAGCACCGGCUAACUUCGUGCCAGCCGCCGCAGUAA
rnacentral:rRNA from 1 species